GAUCCCCACUUCCAUCUCCCAGACCACCAGUAGCAGCGCAUCUGGAGCAGUUGCCCCUCCCUCCCCCCUUCCAUCCGCCUGUUCGACCAUGGUUCCCGCAUGGUCUUCUGCUCGCCCUGCCUCCAUCAAUGGCUCCUCCAUGAAGACGGAUGUGCGCACCCGCCUCCAAGGCUUCUCCUUCCCGAUGCUCAACUAGGUCGCGUACCACGUCCUCCUUUGCUCCAAGAUAGGUGGCACACGUCUGUCUCAGCACCAAGGGAUUGAGAUCUUAUGGUGCUUUACAGGCAGCCUGGAGACAUACAAGAUAGAUGAGGUAACAUGUCGUUCAAGUUUCAAUACGGGAAUACAAUUGAUCUGGGAUAUGUCGUUAUGACUGUGUUCAACGGUCGUGAAUCUGGUAAUGUCAUAUGCAUGCACAUGUGUUUGUUUGUGUUGGGAAUUUUCAGAGAUGCUCAGAACAGACGAACAUGUGUAGGAUGACUGUGCUGUAGAGGGCGAUGAGCAUGUGGAGAAGCUGAAGAAGGAAACAUUUAUGUUGUUCUUCUUAGCUACUUGAGCUCUCGCCCUUUUGAUUCGUAGAAUGAUGAACUGACCUCGACGUGCUCACGCUGCUUUGAUUUGUAGAUUGUAUUGGGAGCUUCCAGUGCUUAUUGUGGCGUCUAUACAAAAACAAAUAAACUGCAUAGAAAUAUUGUAUUUGAUAGAAUUUAUAUGAUGUUUCAAGGAACCACGCUGCACUCUAUGUUGUUAUGUUGAACAGAAUUAACAACGACAUCGAGGAAACAUGAGUUUAUCGUUCAAAAGAGGCCUCCGAAAUUUUAGAGGGUUGUGGUAUAUGAAUCAUUGCUGGAUAAGGAAAGGAGUGAGGGAGGAUAUGCAGAUUCAUGCAUACAUUAUAUGAUGGAUUUAUAUGGAUCCUUCGCGAGGUAAAAGAGCUAUAUAUUUUAGUGUUUCCUAUUCAGAUAAUCUACUUCCUAUGGACCUAUGAAACCCCGGUCUUCCAAGAAAACAAAAGGCGGAAUAGCUACAAGAAGGUGACAUAUAUCUUGCUUACUUUGUUGUAAUUUGUAUGCUAAGUAGGUCAGAAUAUCCCUAUCUUGAAGUUUAUGAAAGAACUCUGUCAUGUUGUAGCCAAGAUUUUCAAAAUGUUUAUCAAAUUUGUGGUUUGUAUUUCUGCCUAAUAUAAGAACUCUAUUUACCUUGUUCAUCUAACUCUGCUCUUUUGAUUGAAGUUCUUUCCUACACUCAUAAUAGAAACUUACAAUUUGAACCCUUGGCCGAUGCACGAGAUUAAGGAUUAAACUCAUGGAAUCUAAAAAAAAUAGUUUGAACUAUAAAAAGAUCUAAAAAACAUCUAAAGGUCCUGUCAAAAAAGUGUCUGACUCUGAUAAACAUUGAUCAUGGUAUUUUGAUCUAAAAAAAGGCAUCCCACUUGCUAAUUAACAGACUCUGAACAUCCCAUAAAAAAUUCCAAACGUCCAACUUAUAUUAUGUUGGUCUUUAAUACUACGAUGCUCGUGUGUGUGUACAAGCUGCUGUUCGGGAAGCCAUCGUACCGCGACCUCUUUGAAGUCUACUUUGAUCAAAACGGGAGGGUGAAGCAGGGGUGUAUUUAUUUAUACGACCUCUUCAGACACCAACAACUAAUGAUGAACACCUUCAUUUAAUUUUUUACAUUGGCAUUUUUUGUCACUCGGACAAUUUUAUCUUCAUGCAUGAUUUUGUUUAUAAGACUGUUCAGGCAUUUUCAAGUUUCUGUAAAGAUGAGUACUACCAACACUUGCUUGUAUACAUGGCGACACUUGGUCCUCUCUGUUCUGGUUUCUGAAGGUGUUGAUGCUCCUGUUUGUGUUAACAUAUAGUUUUGUCAGAGGGGAAAGCAACUCUGUUUGAAUUGAGCUGUAAGUUGUGGAGUUUGAGUACAAUUUUCUUGUUUUUAUUUUAGUUGUAGCCAUCCGUAUGUGAUCCUGCAAUUCCCUUUUUAUAAUGUUGAAAUAAAGCCAUAAUUUAAAUAAA